rnacentral:rRNA from 1 species
GCGACCCCAGGUCAGGCGGGACUACCCGCUGAAUUUAAGCAUAUAAAUAAGCGGAGGAGAAGAAACUUACAA